rnacentral:lncRNA from 1 species
GUCUCGCGCGCGCGGGAAGCGGAGGUGGAAGUCGGGGCGCAGGAAUGUGGCUGUCCCCGCCUGUAAAUCAUGGUUGGGGAGGAGUCGCGGAGGCACCAGGCUGGGGUCUGCAGCGCGCCAUCUGCUGCAGCACACAGGAGGCGCUGAGGCUAGUUGGGUUCAAGCGAUUCUCAUGCCUCAGCCACUUGAGUAGCUGGGACUACAGGAUUUUGCCAUGUUCCCCAGGCUGGUCUCAAACUCCUGAACUCAGGCAGCCCGCCUACCUUGGCCUCCCAAAGUGCUAGGAUUACAGGUAUGAACCACCGCGCCCGGCCAGUUUCUUAAUUCUUAGACUAAAUCUACGGGGGACACACUUUUGCCAACAUUAGCUGCAAAGGGUUUUUUCCUCCACACUUAAGUCACAGUCAGUAAGUAGUUUUUUUUUUUUUUUUCCCCUGUGUUUUUGUUUCCUUGUUUGUUUUUAUUUGGGAAAAUGCCUCUUUUGAUAGUAAUGAAUUAUUUUUUACACGCAAGGUCAAAAACAGCAUGGAGUGAAUUUU